CCUGGCUACCUGCUCCGUCUCUAGAUUCCAGAAGCGCCCUCGCUCCUCGGUCCUUCCACAAUGGCGCGGUCGCGGAAAACCAGAGCCAAAACCAAAACCCCACCGGCGGUUUCUCCCCCACCGCCGGAGACGCCACAAGCUGCGGUAGCGGGGAUUUCCGUCCUAUCCGAGGACGACCUGCGCGAUAUCCUCCGCCGCCUCUCCCUCGCCGACCUCCUCCGCGCCGCCCUCGCCUGCCACCGCUGGCGCCGGGUCGCCGCAGGCUGCCUGCCCCGCGCCGCUCCCCUCCUCGGCUACUUCUUCCAGCCCGUCAAAGCCUCUCUCCCGGCGCCCAUCAGGGAAACCAAGGGAGCGCACUACGACGCCGUGUUCACCCCCCUCGACGCCUCCUCGCCGCGCCUCUCCCUCGACUUCGCCCCGGACGCCUCCCGCUACGAGCUGCUGGACUGCCACGAAGGCCUCCUGGUUCUCGAGCCGACCGCAUCGGGCCCCAAGGCGAUCCACCGCCGCCUCCUCGUCCUCGACCCGGCCACCCACCGCCGCGCUCUUCUCCCGCCGCCGCCGCGGGACACGGUGCCCGACGACCGCCGAUGGCGCAGCUCCAGGUACUACAUCGGCUCCGCGCUUCUCUCCCGCGCGCACCCGAGCAAGCUCUGCUUCGAGGCCGUCUGCUUCGCCAUCGACGGCAGGCACCCGCGCGUCUGGCUCGCGUCCUUCGACGACGGCCAGUGCCGCUGGCGCUCGCUCCCGUUGGCCGAGCAGGUCGUGGUCGAUUUCGACCCCUACUGGUUCGAUAGCUUCUGCGUGCACGCUGCCGGGAAGAUGUACUGGCACAUCUGCAACUCGGAUCGCGUCCUCGCGCUGGACGCUGCCACGCUGCAGUUCUCCUACCUGCAAGCGCCGGCGGGCCUGCCGGGGAUCUGCUGCAAGUACCGCGUCGGGGAGACGCCUGACGGGCGGCUGUGCGUCGUGACCGUGGAGGACCAGGUCCUGCGGCUCUGGGUGCGCGGGGAGAUCAGGUCCAGCGACGACGGGUGGAUUCUGGAGAGGGAGAUGAAUCUUCGCAAGGUGUACGACACGGUGCCGGGCCUGCCCAGGGACAUGAGGGCCAGGGUAGCAAGCAUCUGGGUCACCGACAUCGACGCGGGGCACAAAGAUAGGCUGUUCAUCCAGAUGUUGGGAUACGGGCGCUACUCGUUCGAUCUCAACACCGGGAAGCUGGAGCCCCUUCCGACCAAGAAUGGUAAAGAGUAUGGGCAUCCCAUCUUUGCCUACUUCCUGGCCUGGCCGCCUGCCUUGCUCGCUGCAGAGUACUGAACUUUCAGCUUUUAACACCAUGUACAUGAGCGCGAAGUUCUGGUUGCAAAUCAGUUUUGUGUUCUUUGCCUUCUUCCUGGCCUGGCCGCCGGCCUUGCUCGCUGCAGAGCACUGACCUUUCAGGUUGUUGCCUAGAGUAGUUUUUUGCUUGUGCAUAAUAUCAUAUAUAAGUGCAUGGUAUUCGGAGCAGGCUAGUAGGAUUGGAAGCACAGGUGUGUCAAUUAGUUCCCAACUUCUAAAGUGAUGGGGAUUUUUUUUGCAAGAUAGAUAGGCUACUGAUCAGUGAUUGCACUGAAACUGCCAUUUAUUGAAUGUGAAGCAAUUAUAUAUUUUAAAUAAAUAAACGCUCUGGUCACAUUGUCUUUCUCAAUUCAUGUAGUUUGAGAUGAUCACAGAUAAUAUAUGCUGGUCAUAGAAGAUCUGAUCACAUACUUCUAUAUUGGUCCUACAUGGUUUAUAGUCUCCAGCCACUCUACACAUGUUCAUGCCCCUAUUAUGAUAUCAAUCAUAUUUCAUGGUUUGAACCUUCCGUUAAUAGUGCUGAUGGUCUCUAAUGCAUUAUGGUAGCUUCAAGUGACUUUCCCGCCUGGUUAUAUUUCCUAAAUGUAAUUUUUGUGACAAGGCCAACAUUGCCAACAAUCUUUCUAUUCUUAAUAGGUGAUCCCAUUUCUCUUCACAUGCAGCCUAUCCACCUCAUCAAACAUCCUUGACCAAUCCCAACUUGCCAAGUCAUGCAAGCCUUACACCAUCAUUCACCAUAUCAUCCACUCAGAACUUGCAAAAAAAAGUGUGUUCCGUUUCUGUGCGUCCAUCAAGUCCGUUUCAUUCUGAACAUGAUUUUUUUUCCCUGCCAAACCAACGCACUAGCCCAUUACUCUCUCCAAAAUAGAAGGGCUGGUCCAUUAAUGGUUUCUUCUCUAUGGAAAUACUGCAGCCACCAUACCGCCGUUGUGAUGCCCGUUCCUCUCCUCCACGUCCUCUAACAGGAAAUCAAUGGAGACAUUCUGGGAGCGGCAAGCGAAAGCCGAUGGUGUCGUGCAUUAUAACGUCUGAUCUCGCCUUAAAGCAGUGAAAAGCUACUCUAUUCCAUCGUCUCUCUCCAUGACAGCUGCGCGUCCGCUCCCAUCAGCCAAACAAAAAUAGACACCGUCGUCUUCCCCGCGUCCUUUCAUGGUUUGCCAGCUCUGGUCCGGUACACGAAUGAGGACGAUGCUGGAGAGGCAAUAUAGCUUAUCAUCGUUAGUCUAGCUGCGUCUUCAGUAUCAGAGAUAACACACAUGCAAGGCUCCAAAAGGGUAUGGCUUCCAGCUUUCCCAACCCUGUCGAAGGUGCAGCUGCAAAGCCAGAGUUGAGCAAGUGGCUUUAGACGUGUGUUUCUUUUUUUUCUUUCUCUGUCUGUUGUGUGACAAGAUAUUUAAUUUUUCCUUUCUUUCUAUGUUGUGACUCAUUCAUGCCCAAUGAAUAUUCAUUCAGUUUCAUUGUCAGCAAUUUGUUGAUUAAAGAUUCUCCUUCUGCCCUGCAGCUAUUCCACAAAAUGCCGCUUAGUAAAUCUACCUGAAGUUGAUUUUUCUAUCAAGCAGUUUGAUCCUUGGUGUGUCUGUUUUCUUGAAUUGCAGGUUUACCAAAGUUUCCUGCCAUUAGCUUAUGUGCUGCCCCCCUUAUAGCAGUCCUCAGUUCUGUUGUAAAUUGUCUGCUACUGCAUCACCAAGUUCUUAUUGACCAUCUUACAUGUAACAAUGCCAAUUUUCUUAUUUUGAUAAUAGGGGUUGUGCGCGCAGACUCAUUUUUAGAAGACGCAAGAAAGUUCACAGCAGCAACAGUGUCGAUUUUGGUAAGUGAUGUUUUUACCUACUGCCUCCCCGCUUCAAGAUUUUUUUUUCUUACUUCCUUACGUGUCUUUUACAUCUCCCUGUGCUCUGCUAGCUUCCUGGAAGAACGUUCUGUUAUAUGCAUGGAGUAUCUUAUUAAAUCCAAAUAAUUUACUAUGCCACCAAAUGUCAUAUGCAUUCUUGGAGUAUUAUGUUGUAUCGUUAUUGCCUUUCUAGAAGAGAUUGUAGAAUAUACGAACAAAUGCUUGGUGAUUGAAAUUAUAUUAGAACCGACCAGAACUGAAAUUUGUAUGUGUUACUUUACUGAACUAAUUAUACAGGUUGUUCUCAUUUUUUGAAUCAUCUAAUAAAUUAUUUAUAAUGUUCAAAAGUACAUAAUAUAUGAAAUACACUUUCUAAUUCUCAGAGCAGCCUCUUAAAAAUACAAUUAUAUUUUACAGAUUGUCCGCUGACUAUAGUUUAUUUAUAUUGCUUUAUAACAUAUGCAUCUAAUACCCGCAACAACGUGCGCGGUAUACCUGGUUUUAGUAAUGAGGUCUACCACCUCCAAACCCUGCCACCCACAAGGCACAUACUUUCCCGGUUCAUAUUGGAUUUUAGGCUACCUUUAGAAUUCUAGAUUCUUGGUCCACUGCUAUUUUUCAACGAUGAGUGACUGUUAACUGAAUUGAAGGUAAAUAUGUUAUGCGUGAUUUGUGGUUUAUAUAUGGAAAUUAUAUGGCUUUGACAUGGUUUUUUAAUGUUUUCAAUUGGAUACUUUAUCUGUUGCUUCUCGACAUGUAAUAGUAUACUACAUUGAUGGCUGAUGACUCUCUCAGAAUUUUGUGUAAUAUACUCCCUCCUUAGUAACAUAUAUAAGAUACAUUGAUGACACUUCAAGGACGUUAUCUAUUUAAAAUAGUUGGUAGCACAUUCGUUUGUGCAAUUCAUAUAUACGAAGUCUGCCAAAUGUUAGCAGUUGUAGAAAUCAGUAUGUCUAUGGUUGCACCAUGAAUGCAUGAUGUUAGCUCUUCCUUUUUUGAACAAUACUUCCAUUAUGGAGAUUCA